ensembl:lncRNA
UGCUUCUCCCGCCAGAGAGCGCUCCUCGGGUUCGUCUACUCGGAGUCGGUCGGGGGCCGCGAGCGGAGAGAAUGGAGGCCGAGCUGCGUCCGAUCGCCGCAGAAAGCAAUUAUAUCAAAUCAGCCUUUUUUUCAUGAGCAAACAAACAACACUUCAUCAUCAUCAUCAUCAUCAUCAACUCGCAUGAAGCGGGAGGGUCAAUUCGAUGGCUGUUGAUUGCGUGAUGAGAGGACACGUGAAGCAGGCCGGGACGAGCCAGCCGAGGAGGCCAAGUUUACGCCCCAACACCUGCCGCCUCAUACCUGCUCCUCGUACUGAUGCUGCAGCCACUCCACAAGUAGAAGAAAGCCUCCUUCUUAAUUUUCUCAGGUUCAACAUGCGUGUAAAUUCUUCAAACACAUGACCACCAGGUGACACAGUAAGUAAGUAGGAGCCAAACGUUUAUAGUUAAUCAUUUGAAAAACUCCACAUCAGGUGGCCUCCAUCUUUCCAAAGACAUCAGUGGAUGGAAGCGCAACAAACGGAUGUCGAGUGUAACCAAAUAUCCAGCAACACACAAGCACAUACUUGAUGGGGCUUAAAACUCAGACGUGUUUUGUCUUUUCGAAUAUCUCGCUCGCUGCUGCACCACCCACGCAUUCCUGAAACAUCCAACUGCUGAGACCAGUUCAAAGGCGUCUGUGGGCGGGGAGUUUGCGUAACAGGUGUGUGUGUGUGUGUGUGUGUG